GUGUCAGCAGCCGCGGUAAUACAGAGGGGGCGAGCGUUAUUCGGAAUUAUUGGGCGUAAAGGGCGCGUAGGCGGCCGUGUAAGUCUUGGGUGAAAUCCCUCAGCUCAACUGAGGAACUGCCUCGGAUACUGCAUGGCUUGAGGCCGGGAGAGGGUAGUGGAAUUCCCAGUGUAGCGGUGAAAUGCGUAGAUAUUGGGAGGAACACCGGUGGCGAAGGCGGCUACCUGGACCGGUUCUGACGCUGAUGCGCGAAAGCGUGGGGAGCAAACAGGAUUAGAUACCCUAGUAGUCC
rnacentral:rRNA from 1 species